rnacentral:lncRNA from 1 species
CAUCUAAAACAUCCGCUAACUUGCAGUUAUCCGAACUGUUUGAAAAUAUCUUGUGACUAACUUCAAUAAGAUUGAUUGUUGAAAAGUGAUUAAUUUUAGAAAAAUAUUUGUGUAAAAUAGAUUUAGAUGACUUAGUAGAGAUUUAACCAAGUCUAAGCAAAUGAAAAACAAAUAAGCACAUAAAAGGGAAAAGACAGGAGGAAGUAAAAGAUUUAAACCAUUGGGCCCAAAUCAACGAAACCUGUCCUAAUCUAAUUUAGGCUUUCGACCCAUUUUUCACCUGUCCUAAUCUAUGUUUUCGAGCCUUUUUGGCCCAAAAUCCACUUCACCUGUAUUAAAUUUACAUCUUUGGCUUCGAGGCCCGAAAUGAAUAAAAAUAAAUAAAUGAAGGCAACAAUGAAUGUGAGACUUUCAAGUCUCCUUUGCCGCUUCAAGGAUAGGACUUUAGCCCAUUUCUUCUUCUUUCGCCUCCUUGUAUUCGGUAUGCCAUAAGAUUGAUAUUUGGACUUAGUCUUUCAAAAUCGACUCAGGGUUAUUAGGCCUCGAUGGCCCACAAUAGACAUGCAUAGGAAAAGGAGUCUAUGUAGGACUCGAACGUAUCCACAUGCAAAAGAAAAGCAAACUAAUUAACAUAUGUUCAAAUGUUACCUAACACAUAAAUAACGACAUGAAAAGAGAACAUUUUUAUGCAAAAAUGAAAAUAAUAUUAGCAUGAUUUACAUAAAAGAGAUCAUAUCGGUUUACUAAUCCCUUUUUCUCUUUUUUUUCGGGAAGGUAUCAUAUUAAGUUCUCCUGACUAAAACAUAUACUUCAAACAUUUAUCAAAGAGAUCAGUGGAAAACGUGGCUUAAUAUCAGUAAAGAAAAAACUUUAAGAUUUUUAGCCCUAUGAACCAAAAUUAGGCCAAGAUAGAGAAAUAUUAAUGAACGACCAACCUAAGCGACACAAAAUGAACUUAGAAACUUUAUUUUUUGCAAAUAAAUAAGACAAGAGACUAUUAUCGAACUUAAAUGACAUUUGAAUAUAAGUCCAACAUUACUAAUCAAGAGAAACAUACAAUCAGUGACAGGCCAAAAUAGGCAAGAUCAAAGUUUAUAUCUAAAAGAGAAAGGAAAAUUCGUCAUAAUUGGUAAAUCCAAAACAAGCCAAAAAAGGGAACAAAUAGUAGAUCAACAAAGAUAAGGAAAUUAUGCUUCCAAGAAUAUUGGGGAAGUGUACAGUAAUACAAACAGAGAGAAAAAUAAGCAGGAAGAACCGAACAUUUUCUAUCGCAACAUAUAAUUCAGCGGAUUUGAAAUGCCUAAGUAGUCUUAAUUAUGAUGAAGAGAUAGACCAUAUUUUACACAAUUAACAUACAAAGAUGCACACGACUAGCAAUCUUCAAGUUGAAUAUACUACAAACUCAGGAUCAUCCUCUCUUUGACCAACUCGAACUGAACUGUCAAGGGUCGAAGAAAAGAUCUUUGAAGGUUUAUAGGAUUAUCGAUCUUACCAAGGACAUUCACCCACUAUUCUAUGGACUUUAAAGGUCAAAAGAAUUAGGAGGCAGCCCGUUAUCUAGUCAAUACAGCAGAUUCUAGGCCAUCAGUAACAUCGAACUAGAAACAAAAUUAUCAAAAUGAAACCAAAACUUACUCUAAGAUGACAUAACGAGACUAAAACAUGGAUAUUUAGCUAAAGAGAUAGAAAAUCAGACUACAAUAUUGGAGUAUAAAAGUGUCAUGUCGGCAAUUAAUAAAAUCUAGCAUUACAGUGAUUUCAGAAGCGAAUAUGACAUCCCUUCGUCAUUAUAAUUUAGCAUAUAGGAGAGAACAAGCAAUGACACACUCGAAAAGAAUGAAAUAGUCGGAACAGCUACCAAGAAAGGACUUUAAAUCAAACACAACAAGCUUUAGCAAGAUUCGAACCCAAAAAAUGCAACAGAAGGCUUUUAGCCCAAAAUAUGAGUUAAAGAUGACUAAACAAGCGAGUGUCAUAUAUAUGUAAGAGAAAACAACACAAAAACAUGGUUCAAGCUGCAUAACAGACCAUAAGCUAAAGAAAAAGAAAUUUUGCACCAAUACGCGGGUAAAGCAGUGUAUACCAUUGAACUACUAUAAAAAUCCUAUUACUAGCAUUAUCAAAUGAUUGCAGCAACGUAUUGAUUUGAGAAGAAAACCAUGUAAUAAUAAUUAUUACUGACAAACUAUACAGCCAUUAAAGGCAUCUACAACAGCUAAUUCCCAGCAUAGAAAAUUAUCGUAAAUAUCAUUAUAUCUACAGAAUGGCGAGAUAAAGAAGAAAUAAACGAAACUAAAUAGAAUGGAGAGUUACCGGUUUCGGAGCAGCAAAAUAGAACCUCGAGCUCCUUCGGAGUUCACCACCACCGGAAAAUUCAAUGCUGCUACGAAAAUAUUUACUAGCCGACUACUAUUCCUUCAAAUUUUACUGAAGAAAAUUCUCUUCUAUACUUGCGACCAAUUUUUUUUCCCUUUUUUUGUGUGUUUCUGCUUUUUGAAAAAAAUUUCCACAUUCUUUUCUUUCUCCAAAAGGAUCUAUAUAUAGAGAACAGAGACCCCCUCCCAAAUAUUGCUCCAUCGAUGUGGGAUAAAGUGAUUCAAGGGAAAAUUAGGGAAUUUUUCAAAAGGGAAUUCAAAAUUUGAACUCAAGAUAAGAUUACCCCUCACAAAUUAUACCAAUUUUGUGGUUUCUUGAGGGAAUUCAAUGGGGGUUUACCAAUGGAAUUUGGGGAAAAUUGAAUCCUCCCUCAAAUCAAUAAAAAAUGCCCAAAUAUGUACCAAAUUCGUACCAUUAUCCCGAGAUUUGCGGAGUUAGCCAUUUGGGGGAGACGCCUGAGCACUUCUAGAGAGUUCUUAGCAUCUUUCUCGUACAAAUCAGCUGAGAUGCCUGAUGAAGAUGAAAAAGAAACGGGUUGGGGUCGGGUUUCGCCGUUGGAUGCGAGUCGGAGACGGGUCGAUGGUUUGCUGGAGUUGUACGCCAUUUUUAACUGUUGUUGUCUUUUUUGCGUAUUGUACGCAGCUAUUGCUGUUGUACGCUGAUGGGAUUUUUUUUUGGCUGAAGCUGUUGUUGUUAAAGAAAAAACUGGCCGGGUCAGGGGGUUUUGGAGUUGGGCUGGGCAGUGGUGUGUGCUGAAAUUAAAAGGAGAAAAAAAAAUGGGCUGAUGGGUUUAGGAAAUUAGAAGGAUUGGUUUUGGAGUAAUUGAAGAGUGGGCUUCCAGGUGUUGGGCCGCUGGGCUGGCAGAAUUGGGUUGUGAUUGGGCCCAUUUAACUGUUGGGCCUAUUUAAAGGGGAAAUAAAGGCUGGUGAUGCUUUUUGUUAAAAUUGUUGGGUUAUUUUUUGGUAGAUUAGGGAUUUAGGUAAUUUUUUGGGUGUUAAUUUAGAAAAUAACCCCAACUAGAUUUGGGGUUAUUCAAAAAAUAAUUUCAAUUCUAAUUUAGCCUAUUCUAUUUAAAUUUUGAUCAAACUAAAAGUCAAUCGGCCAAUUGCAUUGCAAUUGUAAUUUAGUUUCAAUUAUAAUCGAAUUUAAUAGAUUAUUUAAAUUAAAAUGAAGUUCGAUAGGAAUUAACUCCUCAUUUAAUCCCGAGCUUCUUGAUUUAAUAAAAUCAAACACAUAUUUAUCCAAAUAAAUUAUCUUUAAGAAUAAAUUAUAUUUAAAUUAAGAUUUUAAUUCUUUGAAUUUAUUUCCAAGCUCAGUCUCAAUAAAAGUCCAAUUUUGAUGAAAAUAUUGAUUUAAAUAACAUCAUUUAUACAAUCUCGUAUAUGUAAAUACAAAAAUAUAAUUAUCACUUAAAUGACAAAUUUAGCCCAAAUAAAUAUUUUUAAAAUGCAUUUAUUUGAAAAAAAUCCAAACCCCACUAGGUGGGAAUAUAUUGGGUUUGUUGUUGUUGUUGGAAAAAAUAAUUAUUGUGAUUUUAUUUGAAAAUCGAAGAAACUCAAGAUUAAAUAUAGUUGUGGAGGGAAAAAAUUAGGUGUCAACAACUGCCCCCUCCAUUUGAGUAGGAUGGAUGCAAGUAAUCCUGGGCAAAGGGAGGUUGACGUUCCUAAUUUUUGUCCGACCAUAAAUUCAAAUCUAAAAGAGGUUGGUUUUCGCACGAGUUUUGAAUUUACGGUCGGACCUCGGUAUCAGGUUUCCUAUGUAUACAAGGUUACAUGAGAAUUUAGGCCACUUGCAGUUCAUACAGCUUGAUUCAAAGCACGAUUUCAAAAAAAAAUUCACAAGCUAUAUUGGUUUUGGAGUUUUUGAUAAAAUCGAAAAGCUGAAGAAUAAAGGGAUUUGGGGAGAGGUUGGAAUGCAGUCAAGUUUUCAAAAUAGAGUCCAACCUAUAUAUCCCUGAGAAUCGAGGAAUCAGACUGCUUGUAGUUCGACUCGAUAGGCAGAAAAAAUAGUCUCUUAUUUUAGACGGUCUUUGGCUCGGGAUUAGUGACAAGUUGUUUAAGUUAUGAAAAAGAGGCUUACAACAUCUUAACCAAGAAUGUAGGAUCCUUCACAUCUAUAGGCAAGAACUUACCUGGACAUAAUUUUCAAAACUCUAGGUGCACUAUCACUCGAAUUUGAAAAAAAAAAAAGUUUACCCUCGGUGUGAGUUUACAAAUAUACCGAAGGUGAGUUAGGGGUGUGGUUAGAUGAUGGUGGUGAUCAUCCUUUAGCUCGCGUCCAAAGAGUUUGACGUCCCUCUCUAUACUAUGUCUCAUUUUGCUGCUAAAAAAGAGUUCUACGUUGUGUUGCAUCCUAUCUAGAGUCAUCCACACCAAUGGUUUUAAUUUAAUAUUUCCAUCCUCUCGAAUGCUUUCGACAAUGUUACAAACAAAGAGUGUUAGUGCUAAACAUAAUUCGCAAAAGAGGUAUAUAGUCUUUACCAUAUCUCCACGUGAGUUGUCACCUGAAAAGUAAAGUCAUCCUUUCAUGUACUUGUUUGGAAAGAGAUAACUUGCAGCAACAGACACAACAACCCUCUUGGUCGUUGCACAACUAUCUCGUUUGUCGGUUGAAUAUGUCUUAAAAAUGGAAUGACUUUUUUGGACACCAAUAACACUUCAUGCAGGACGGUCCCUACAACUGGGUAAUCUUAUGCUAAGGUGAAUAAUUCUUUGCAUGUGACCUCGGGUAAGUCAUGCGCAUCUUUUGUAUCGAUAUGAUUUAUUGAUUUCCCUUGAAUUAAUAAUCUUUGGAUAAUCUUGCACAUUAUUUGAUGUUGGAUACAAGGUGACUUACAGAUGUCCUUUGAAUUGCUAGCCUUUAGGUAAUCCUGCACAUUAUCCAACCUUGGAUAAGAGAUGGCUUACAGAUAUCCCUCCAAUUUCUAGCUCUCAGGUAUUCAUGCACAUCAUCCGACUUUGGAUACAAUAUGACUUAUAAAUAUCUCUCAAAUUGUUCGUCUUUGGGUAAUCCUACAUAUAAUCGAUUUUGGAUAUGACGCGGCUUAUAGAGAACCCUUGGACUUAUCAAUUUGAUCAUCUCAUAUAUUCUCCGGUACGAAUUUAGUUGUGACUUAUGGAUGACCUUUAAAUUAUCAAUCUUAGGGUAACCUUGCACACUAUUCUGUUAGGAUGUCGUUGCAGCUUACGGAUGACCUAUGCACUAUCAACUCAUAGGAAAUCUUGCACACUAUCCUCUUUCAAAUAAUAUGAAUUAUAGAUGAUCCUAGGAUUGUCAAUUUCUAGGAAGUCUCAUAUGUCGUUCGCUUUCAGAUAGAGACUUGAAGAAAUCCCUUUGAAUCAUGUGUUUGUUAUGUAGUCCGAUGUUGAUUCAUAAAAUGAUGAGAUAUCCUCGACACCAGCGUAUGAUAUCUUACAUGUCAAUAGAUAUUAGAUGAUGAUGAUAUCCUCGAUGCCAGUGUAUGUUAUCUCACAUGUCAACAGAUAUUAGAUGCUAAUGAUAUCCUCAAUGCCAGUGAAUGCUAUCUCACAUGUCAACAGCUAUUAGAUGAUGAUGAUAUCCUUGACGCCAACGUAUGCUAUCUUGCGUGUUAACAGAUAUUAGAUGUUGACGAUAUCCUCGAUGUCAGUGUAUGCUAUCUCAAGUGUCAACAGAUAUUAAACAUUGAUUAUAUCCUCAACACCAGCAUAUGCUAUCUCACAUGUCAACAGAUAUUGAAUGCUGAUUAUAUCCUCGACGCUAGCAUAUGCUAUCUCGCAUGCCAAUAUAUAUUAAAUGCUGAUGAUAUCCUUAAUGCCAGCGUAUGCUAUCUUCCGUGUCAACAAAUAUUAAAUGUUGAUGAUAUCCUCGACGCCAGCAUAUGAUAUCUCGCACGUCAUCAGAUAUUUAAUGCGGAUGAUACCCUCAACGCCAGUGUAUGAUAUCUCACGCAUCAUUAGAUAUUUAAUGCAGAUGAUACACUCGACGUCAGCGUAUGAUAUCUCGCACGUCAUCAGAUAUUUACUGCAGAUAAUAUUCUCGAUGCCAGCAUAUGAUAUCUCACGCGUCAUCAGAUAUUUAAUGCAGAUGAUAUCCUCAAUGCCAGCGUAUGAUAUUUCAUGCGUCAUCAGAUAUUUAAUGCAGAUGAUACCUUCGAUGCCAGCGUAUGAUAUCUCGCGCGUCAUCAGAUAUUUAAUGCAGAUGAUAUCCUCGAUGCUAGCGUAUGCUAUCUCGUGCGUCAUCAGGUAUUUAAUGGGGAUGAUAUCCUUGAUUCUAGUGUAUGAUAUCUCACGCGUUAUCAGAUAUUUAAUGUGGAUGACAUCCUCGACGCCAAGGUAUGCUAUCUCGCGUGUCAACAAAUAUUGAAUGUUAUGGCUCUCUCGAUAAUGAAAUGACCCUUUUGACAAUGGCAUGAAAUGAUUCUCUCGGUGAUGAUAUAGAAUGGCCCUCUCGGCAAUGGCAUGAAAUGGCUCUUUCGGCAAUGGCAUGAGAUGACCCUCUUGGUAAUGAGAUGAAAUAGUUUUCCUGGUGAUUUGAAAAUAAUUUUACCUGAUUCCGUUUGUCUGUGUGUUGCUUUCUACAUGUACCUGUACUCAAGGUAGAUAGUUAGUAGACACAAUGUCGCUCUCACUGGCAACCACAGUCAAGCUUUAUAAUAGUUUAAUGACAAAUACUGAGCAUCAUAAUUUGAAUGACUUAUUCUGCUAUUAAUUUUCUCUUUUUGAAGAAAUGAUUAAAUAACAGAUCUACCAGAUGUAAGUAAAUAAGGCAAAACCCUUGUUUGGGGAUUACUCAACUACUGUUUGCUUCGCUUCAAGGCGAAUUUUGAGGAUGACUUUCUGCUCUUCCUCCUAUUGAGUGAUCCUUUGAUUGUUGUAUUUAUUGUGCCAGCUCCCUUGAAUUUACCUGUUCUCAGGGUAAAUAUUUAGCAGACACAAAGUCGUUUUGCUAAAAACUAUUUUUUUAGAAAAAUUCUAAAUUCAAUAUUUAUAAAAAGAUACGGCACAUUUGUUUGUCCUUCAUGGUCUCAAGAAGUGAGAUAGACAAUUUAAAAUGUCCUCAAUAAAUGGGUAUUAAACCCAUCUUCGGGGCCACUAGACAAUACCGUUCUUGAGCAUUAUAUACUUUGGUGUGGCUCGCAACUCGCUUGGAGAUUUUUUGAAAAAAAAAUUUCAUUUUUUGUGUACUGAUCCUUGCAUCCAUAGAAAAAUAAUUAGUUUUUGAGUGAAACUACUCCGUGUUGACCUUCUUCAAUCCUUGGUUUGCUCUUUGCCAUCUUUCGGGUACUCUGUCAUGUUGGGACUUCCACCCUGACUCCCCAUUCCAAUAGAUGCGUAGGCAAUUACUAAGUAAAAGAUUUGUAUAGAUUUUUUAAAGUAGUCUUAAUUUUAGAAAAUAGUUUCAAAAUCUUCUGUAAAAGAUUUAGAAAAUCACUGUCUGUCAUGUACAAGCCUGACGAACUUCUUUAUCUUGCUUCUGACUAUGUCUGACAUUUGACGGAGGAUUGCUAAGGAUUCAGCAUCGUUGAGGCUUUAUCAUAAUUUCUAUCAUAUCCGAAAAUUUAGUCUAUCUAGACUUUAUCGCAGCUGGUGAUUUCCAAAGCUUGACUUUGACCGCUGGUGCUGGGGGAUUUGAAAUAUAUUUCAAUAUAUCAGCAAAAAUUUUGAAGACCUCCUCAAAAUUUUGUCCCAGUUUAAAGUUGUUUGAGACUAUCUCAACUCGAGAGGAUCCAAAGCCUUUGUUAGUCUUCGUUCUCUUUGUUGGAUGAUGAUCUUCCUCUUGUGAAUUUUUGAGAUUUCUUUUCAAAAAUUCUGCCCCAGUUUCCAUUUUUUGGGGUUAUAUGACCGAGCCGUUGGGGUGCCUACAUAUCCUAUUGAAGCAGAAAUUAGGUCAAACGUAGUUUGAGACUAUGCUAAGGAUAUAUAGAAAAAUCUAAAAGGUUGACUGAAGCCAACAUAGGCCGCCUACGUAUCUCAUUCUUGAGAAUUUAGGUCAUCAUGUAGUUCAUUCAUAAAAGAAAAAGAUAAAUUAUCCUAAGGGGUUGAUCGAAGCCGACAUAGGCCGCCUAUGUAUCCCUUUCUUAGGAAUUAAGGUUAAACGUUGUUCGCACAUAAAAAGAAGGGAUAAAUUAUCCUAAAGGGUUGACCGAAGACGACAUGGACCACCUACGUAUUCUUUUCUUGGGAAUUCAGGUCAGACAUAGUUCGUACAUAACAGGAAAAGGAUUCUAAGCAAUUAUACAUCAUAAAUCAAAUAUUACCACAAAGGCGAUUACAGAUAAACCAAGGAAACAAAACUAAAAUAUCCUUCAAACAUAGUAUCUCUUUACCGCAUCGGAAUUGAUUAGUUUGGUCCACUUUUGACCAUUCAUCUCAAAUAGGAUUAGGGCUCCUCCAGGAUGGGAGUCUCUCGAUUUUCAAAUUCCUCUACAUCUUCCACUAACUGCUCCUCAUCUUCUUCUUCUAUUCAUCAUCAUUCCCUUCACUUUGUUCGUCUAAUCCUUUUCAUGACAUGACAUUGGGAGGUUUUUAAAUUAUUGCUACUAAAAUAAACCAUGUUAGAUGAUAAUAAGAUAAUAAAUCACAUUUCAAAAUAACUUCUUAAAUAAAGGGAGACCUUUUGGAAAAUAAAUAAAAACUAUGGCUCAUAACCCGCGCAAAUGCGGGCCCAUGCCUUUUGAAAGCUGUAAAAUAUGAAACAAAAAUUUGAGACAUAAAAGGAUGGAUCACGUGGCCUCCUUCAGAUCAUCACCAAUUUUUACAACUACUAGUAAUUGCCCUUUCAUCUAUCCAGACGGGCGAUGGCUUAUGAGCAGAGUGGAGUCCAAUUUUGCAAAGCCUCUCCUGGUGCAACCUUCCUUACCCCGUUAGACUUUGGGAAAUACUCUAGUAUAUCAUUUCAUCCCUCAAAUAGAUUUCUUAUCCCAUCCCCAAGACCAUCAUCCUUUAAUAUCUCACACGCAGGAAAAAACUGGUACUUGAGUGAUGAUGGUUUAGACAAACUUGUCUUUGACUUAUCUCCAAUCUCAUCUUCUUUUCUUGGUUGGUAUCCUAACUCAUGUUUAGAUGCUUUUUUCAUGAUCAAAAUGUGUUCAAUAAUUCCUUCAAAAUCCUUACUUAAAACAAUUAAGGAAGUUACGACUUUUUCUGUCUUCUCCUCUUCUUCUAUCUUUUUGGGAUUUUUUGAAUUCACCUUAGUGGUAGUCUUGCUAGACACCUAUUAGCCCGCUAUUUUGAUCAUGUUAACUAUGGAUCCCCCAUGAUUAGGCAGUGGAUUACUGUUGAUAUUUGGUGUCGUUGACUUAAGAGUGAUGACUUUCUGAUCAAUCAAGUCUUAAUGCUUCAGGUUAACGCAAUCCUCGGUAUUGUGUCCUAUCGCUCCCGAAUGAUAGGCAUAAUUUUGAUCAGCACGAUAAAAUUAAGAAUUGGGAUUAAUAAGUUUUGGUUGGAUCGUAUGUAAAUGACUGGCGUCCUUUAAUCUCCCGAAGAGUUAGGUACAACUUUUAGCCAAUGACGUGAAGUUUUGGGGAGGCCUUUUCUUGAGGUUUGGACGUGGGGGUUUAUAAUGAUUAUGAGUAGUAGGAGGAGGUACUUGAUGAUAAUUUGGAAGCGUUUGGAUGUUUUUUCAAUUAUUUGGGAGGGCAGCUUGACCAUGAGGCUGAUAAUUUGGUUGUGAAACUUGAUAUUGGGGUAAAAUAUUUGGUUGUGGAGCUUGGUAUUGGGAUUGGAUAUUUGGAAGUGGAUCUUGGUAUUGAGAUUGAAUAUUUGGGAGUGGAUCUUGGUAUUGAGAUUGAAUAUUUGGGAGUGGCGCUUGGUAUUGAGGUUGGAUAUUUGAGCGUGGAGCUUGGUAUUGAGAUUGGAUAUUUGAAAAUAGAGCUUGGUGUUGGGAUUGGAUGUUUGGAAAUAGAGCUUGGUACUGGGACUGGAUAUUUGGAAAUAGAGCUUGGUACUGGGAUUGGUUAUUUGGAAGUAGAGCUUGGUAUUGAGGACGAGAGGAAGUUGGGUUGUGGGUGUAGAGGAAAUUGAGAAAAUUUUGUGGAAUUCGAGAGUAUUUUGGUAGGAUAUGGGAGGAAUUUAGCAGAUUUAAAAAUGAAUUUUGUGGAUUUGGAAGUGGAUUCUGUGGUUUCGGAUACGAAUUUUGCGGAUUUGGCGGUGGACUUUGUGGGGUUAGGGAUGAAUUUUCUGGAUGGUAAGCAUUGGGUUAUCUUCUUGAUUGGUGUUUUGGGCAAGUUGAGGAGCGAAAAUGGAUGACGUGUUAUGUGGAUGACCCCCGAGAAUAGUCGUACUUAGGGGAGGGAUCUGGAGUGGAGGCCCAUGUAUUCCUGGGGCAAGAACGUUGACAGUGAUAGCCAGGUUAGCCAAGUCUCUAGUAUGGUUCAUUUCUCCCUGAAGCAUUUUCAACUUUCUCACGAGUUCAGUAAUUAUCUCAUUUUGUUUUACUAUUACAUUGUCCCUAAUGGCCAAUGUCUUUUCUUCAUCACUUCCCAUCAUGUUUGAGUGAUGGUUAGGGUAUAGGAUUUUAUGCACUUCUGACCGGGUGAAGUAAGGAUGUUCUCCCAACUUAUUUCAACACGAAGUAGUUUUCUAUUUUCUGUAAAGUGAAACAACUCAAAGGCAGAUAUGUUAGUUUCCACAUGUGGUAAGUAAUGCAAGAUAAUUGACAAGGAAUAACCACGUAGAGUUGUUUGUGUCAUAGCCAAAUUGAUCCACAUGAGCAUAGUGGAUAAAUUUUCCUUUGAUUCAAAUAUACGCACAUAAACACAUAAGUCAUUUAUAUCGCAUAAAAAAUUAUAAUAAUGUGUAUCCUAACUAGGGUGACCCUUUUGAGCCAAGUGAUACCCCCAAAUUACAACUCUCGUUAGAAAGUGUAAGCAAUCGCUGUCAAAUAUAGAACCCAACUGGGUUGGGUGUCGAAUCCCACAGGGAAUACUAUGAUCACUAAGUAUUGCGAUUAUUAUUAGACUGUUGGUCGAAGGUUCCAAGAUAAGGGGGGUUUGGUUUAAGUGCACAAUAAUAUUAUCAGUGUAACGAUGAGAUGAUAUGUGUAAUUGUAUUUGAUCACAGAGAAUGACAAGUUAGGGUUAUGUCCACCUUUUAGCUUCUACUUCUCUAUUAACUAUGAGUACUACGGAUUUUAUACAUGCAUGCACUUAUAGAGAGUCGUAUUCUUAUUCUAAAUCCAAGUGUUUUUCAACCAUCAAGGAUUUAUUCACCUUGACUCUCUCGAACCCAAGGUGUACAACCAAUUGUACGAACUCCCCAAGAAGUUAAUCCUGCUAGGGCAUUAGCUUGUAAAAUAGAGGUUGGAAACCCUAUUUUCUCGUCACACUCUCUUUUCCAAACAACAACUUUUCUAUCUAACAAGUUAUUGCUAUAUUGGCGCAUUCCCUAUGUUUGCAACCANNNNNNNNNNNNNNNNNNNNNACAGAAAUCAACAUAACAAUAUUCAUCAUACCAAAACUUAGACCGAACUUGGCGAUGAAGAUGUCUAGCGAAAAUAAGAGAGAAAACACGUUUCUCUCUCUCUCUCCUCAAGCUAAGCCGUUUUUCUGGUGUUCCAAAAUAUUACAGAAUCUGAAUAAUGUGAAUAAUGCAUUAAAAAUUCAGCAAUAAGGCUUUUAAUAACAUCCUUCUCUAAUAAAUUGCUACUGCAUCCUUAACUAUUUAAAAAUAUUGAGUUUGCCCGGAAAAAGUUUCCAUGCAUCACAUUCAGUCCAACAGCUGCUUUCAUUUUUAUGUGAAGUUUUUCCUUUGCUGUCCACAGGUCCCCAAAGUGCUGAAAUCUUCCUCAUUAGUACCUGAAAAGCAUGCUAAUCAAAUAGGUCAGCUUACUUAACUAAAAAUGGACUAAAAGUGCAAGAAGUAUGUAUUUUAUCCUCAAAACUUAGCUAAAAUAUGGGUAAAUUAUGGUGCUUAGACGUAUAAAUACGCCCAACAUCACCAAGGAUUUAGGCCUGACAAAUUUUGAAGAAAAUAUAUGCCUUUUUAAAGCCAAUCCAUUAUCCCCCAAUUUCAUAGAUGACAUAAAUGCCUACAAAAGUUGCACAAAAGGAAUACAACCUUUAGGGAAAGGAAAAUAACAUGAGAAAAAGAAUGAUGUCCCACGCAGGGGAUAGAAAAUAAUAAUUCCUGAAUGCUUCUUUUAUCGGCCUUCGCCCUUUUAGCUUUGUCCACUUCUUGUAAUUGGCGACAUCUGUUGAUGAUCAAGCGAUUAUCGUAUAACUGUGCUCUAGAUGCAACCGUCCAAAUUGAUCAAUUUUUUAUUUGGCGUGCUUGAAUUCCUUCCUCAAUUGGUGUACGAUUAAGACAUCCUUAACGAAAUAAGUAAAGCAACGUUUCUCCCGACCCCCAAAAGAUAUUGGAUUGGAUUAAACAAACAUAUAUUUCUUUAACACAUAAAUAUGGUUUGUCUGUAAUUCACUUGGGGUCAAUAGAUGCAGGACAAGUUUUCUAAUAAGCCCACUACCCCCUCAGGUAUUGUGUCGUUUUAGGCUCAUGCCUAAAAUAGGAUAUUGGUUUUGCUCUAUCCUAGGUGUCUAGAGUGGAUUUGAACUAGGUUCCCAAGUGGACCAACUUGCAUUUGAAAAUACAAACAGCUAUCAGACACCUCACGUGCUAAUAAACCUUCGUAUUUCAACACUUUAUUUGGAAUUGAUCAACAGGGGCCGAGACAUCUACGAAACCCCAAAACAAUUCAGUAAAUUAAUAUAAAAUUAUGCUAUGAGAUGCAAUAAUUAAAUUUCGCAAAAUCAAAACAUAUACAUACGUAAGUAAUUUAAACAGUUAGUCAAAAAGAUGAAAUCAAACAUUUGGUUAAAACCUAGUUAAAAAUUCUCCAGCAGAGUCGCCAUUUCUAUUUUGCAAAAAUUUUAACUUUUAGAAUUGCCACUUAAUUUUUGAAAAGGAUUUAAGAAAACCUUUAUAAAUUACUUUAAGCAAUCCAAAACAGAAAAAUCAUUUAAAUUUGACGAUUCUGAGUAAACAGUUCUUAUUAACGUUUUAGAAAGGUUUUGAAGCAUCUACAACGUUCGCUAACUUGUGGUUAUCCGAACUGUUUGAAAAUAUCUUGUGACUUAACUUCAAUAAGAUUGAUUGUCGAAAAGUGAUUAAUUUUAGAAAAAUAUUUGUGUAAAAUAGAUUUAGACGACUUAGUAGAUUUAACCAAGUCUAAGCAAAUGAAAAGCAAAUAAGCACAUAAAAGGGGAAAGAGAGAAGGAAGUAAAAGACUUAGGCCAUUGGGCCCAAGUCAACGAAACCUGUCCUAAUCUAAUUUAGGCUUUCAAUCCAUUUUUCACCUGUCCUAAUCUAUGUUUUCGAGCCUUUUUGGUCCCAAAUUUGCUUUACCUGUAUUAAAUUUACAUCUUUGGCUUCGAGGCCCGAAAUGAAUAAAUUACUGAAUGAAUAAAAAUAAAUAAAUGAAGGCAACAAUGAAUAAAUAAAAAGUGAGACUUUCAAGUCUCCUUUGCCGCUUCAAGGAUAGUACUCCCAUUUCUUCUUCUUUCGCCUCCUUGUAUUUGGUAUGCCAAAAGAUUGAUUUUUGGACUUAGUCUUUCGAAAUCAACUCGGGGUUAUUGGGCCUCGAUGGCCCACAAUAGACAUGCAUAGGAAAAGGAGUCCACGUAGGACUCGGACGUAUCCACAUGCAAAAGAAAAGCGAAGUAAUUAACAUAUGUUCAAAUGUUAAUACCUAACACAUAAAUAACGACAAGAAAAGAGAACAUUUUUAUGCAAAAUUGAAAAUAAUAUUAGCAUGAUUUACAUAAAAGAGAUCAUAUCGGCUUACUAAUCCUUUUUUCUCCUUUUUUCCGUGAAGGUAUCAUAUUAAGUUCUCCUGACAAAAAUAUAUUCUUCAAACAUUUAUCAAAGAGAUCGGUGGAAAACAUGUCUUAAUAUCAGUAAAGAAAAAACUUUAAGAUUUUUAGCCCUAUGAACCAAAAUUAGGCCAAGGUAAAGAAAUAUUAAUGAACGACCAACCUAAGCGACACAAAAAUGAACUUAGAAUCUUUAUUUUUUGCAAAUAAAUAAGACAAGAGACUAUUAUCGAACUUAAAUGGCAUUUCAACAUAAGUUCAACAUUACUAAUCAAGAGAAACAUAUAAUCAGUGACAGCCAAAAUAGGCAAGCAAAAGUAAUAUCUAAAAGAGAAAGGAAAAUUCUACAUAAUUGGCAACUCCAAAACAAGCCAGAAAAGGAACAAAUAGCAAAUCAACAAAGAGAAGGAAAUUAUGCUUCCAAUCAUAUUGGGGAAGUGUACAGUAAUCCAAAACAGAGAGAAAAAUAAGCAGGAAGAACCGGACAUUUUCUAUCGCAACAUAUAAUUCGGCGGAUUUGAAAUGCCUAUGUAAUCUUAAUUAUGAUGAAGAGAUAGACCAUAUUUUACACAAUUAGCAUACAAAGAAGCGCACAUGACUUGCAAUCUUCAAGGUGAAUAUACUACAAACUCAGGAUCCUCCUCUCUUCGACCAACUCAAAAUGAACUUACAAGGGUCGAAGAA